rnacentral:misc_RNA from 1 species
UACGGAGGAUCCAAGCGUUAAUCGGAAUUACUGGGCGUAAAGCGCACGUAGGUGGCUUGAUAAGCCGGAUGUGAAAGCCCCGGGCUCAACCUGGGAACGGCAUCCGGAACUGUCAAGCUAGAGUAUAGGAGAGGAGGGUAGAAUUCCCGGUGUAGCGGUGAAAUGCGUAGAGAUCGGGAGGAAUACCAGUGGCGAAGGCGGCCUCCUGGACUGAUACUGACGCUGAGGUGCGAAAGCGUGGGUAGCAAACAGG